rnacentral:rRNA from 1 species
GACGAACGCUGGCGGCGUGCCUAAUACAUGCAAGUCGACCUCAGUGGUGAAUGGGUGCGUAACAACUGGGUAACCUGCCCAUCAGAAGGGGAUAACCCUUGGAUACUGCUGCUAAUCCUGUCUACUGAUGGAUGGACCUGCGGUGCAUGAGCUGGAUGGUGUGGUAACGGCUCACCAAGGCCACGAUGCUUAGCCGUCCUGGGAGGUUGACCUGCCACAUUGGGACUGAGACACGGUCCAAACUCCUACGUGAGGCAGCAGUGGGGAAUCUUCGGCAAUGGACGAAAGUCUGACCGAGCAACGCCGCGUGAAUGAAGAAGGUUUUCGGAUCGUAAAACUCUGUUGUUAGAGAAGCGGUAUCUAACCAGAAAGCCACGGCUAACUACGUGCCAGCCGCCGCGGUAAUUC